rnacentral:tmRNA from 1 species
GGGGGUGAACUGGUUUCGACGGGAUCGUAGAAAUUAGGGAAGCGGGCAGAGGGCUCCGUUGGCCUCUUUAAAAAACGGAACAAACUUUAAAUGCCAAUCAACCGGCACUCGCAGCUGCAUAACUUUGCCUGCCAUGGAACUGGACCUAUCUGCGGGCCAGACCUCCAUGUAAAAGAGCAGACCUUAACUCUUAGAGGUUAAAGAGUGUCCCUGAUGGCCUAAGCUUUGCCGCCAUUUAGUAUUGAUGAAGCUACCGGACACCUGUCGCCCUGCUGUUAGGGCCAGGUAGAGGGGAAUACUCCAAAUAACAGCUGCGCCCGGAGAUGCCUUAGUGGACAUGGUUUCGGACAGGAGUUCGACUCUCCUCACCUCCACCA